AGUGAACGCUGGCGGUAGGCCUAACACAUGCAAGUCGAACGGCAGCACAGUAAGAGCUUGCUCUUACGGGUGGCGAGUGGCGGACGGGUGAGGAAUACAUCGGAAUCUACUUUUUCGUGGGGGAUAACGUAGGGAAACUUACGCUAAUACCGCAUACGACCUACGGGUGAAAGCAGGGGAUCUUCGGACCUUGCGCGAUUGAAUGAGCCGAUGUCGGAUUGGCUAGUUGGCGGGGUAAAGGCCCACCAAGGCGACGAUCCGUAGCUGGUCUGAGAGGAUGAUCAGCCACACUGGAACUGAGACACGGUCCAGACUCCUACGGGAGGCAGCAGUGGGGAAUAUUGGACAAUGGGCGCAAGCCUGAUCCAGCCAUACCGCGUGGGUGAAGAAGGCCUUCGGGUUGUAAAGCCCUUUUGUUGGGAAAGAAAAGCAGCAGGUUAAUACCCCGCUGUUCUGACGGUACCCAAAGAAGAAGCACCGGCUAACUUCGUG
rnacentral:rRNA from 1 species